rnacentral:rRNA from 1 species
UACGUAGGUGGCAAGCGUUGUCCGGAUUUAUUGGGUUUAAAGGGUGCGUAGGCGGCCCUGUAAGUCAGUGGUGAAAUACUCUAGCUUAACUAGAGGGGUGCCAAUGAUACUGCAGGGCUUGAGUACAGAUGAGGUAGGCGGAAUUGACGGUGUAGCGGUGAAAUGCGUAGAGAUCGGGAAGAACAUCAGUGGCGAAGGCGGUCUGCUGGGCCGUUGCUGACGCUGAGGCGCGACAGCGUGGGGAGCAAACAGG